CAUUUGAGAACCCUAUCCUAAAAUCCACUGUCGCAUAUCAUCUCUUUGCAACAUAUCAGACAUACACACACAUAAAACCCCCCAUCAUCUUCACCUCUCUCGCAAAUCCGGUCAUCGGAGUGAGCUCCGACUGAAAUUCCGGCGGUCACAACUGAAUCUCUGGCGAAAUUGACAUCCACAACCAGUUACCUUUCCCCCUCCGUCUCUUCUCCGGCUCCGGCGACCGGAGUGACGCCGGUUAACCGGUCGACACUCACACCCGGCUCCCCUUCUUCUCCGGCGCCGAGAAACCGGACGGCAAACAUCAACCCACCCCCCCUUCUUCUUUCUCAACUGACGGAUCGGAGCACCACCACCACAAGUCCGGUGGUGGUGCGGCGGCUACACAUAGAGAGACCGAGAGAGAGAGAAAGAACCGGCGGUCGGAGUCUCGGACCGCCGGUCGGUUCAAUUAUCCGACGGUCUUUGUUUCUGACCGACGGUAUGAUGCGAUGAUAAAGAUGAGACGUUGAAGAUAAUCGGAGAAACCGAUCUUAUCAGUGAAGUUCGCCGGCGACGGCAGUGGAGUGUUCUCCGCUGAAAUUUGACGCUUGUGUUUGGUUCAGGUCAUCCUUGGUACGGAUCAAGAGGUUCAGGUUUCAUAUUCGACACAGUUCGGGUCAACAGUAACUGGUCAACGAGCAUUCGGGUUAUGGUUUGGUUCGGGUCUCGGUCAGUUAGGGUGCGGUUCAGGUCAGAUUCAGAAUUUCGUGGCUCGGGUUGACUCGGUCAACCCUGGUCAACACAGCGAGUUGACUCAGUCAACUCAACCGGUCAACUCAGCCAACUUUUCGGUUCGGUAAAAGAUUUAGGACACAUCAUUAUUUACGUAACUAAUUUUCAUUAUUACACGUGAACGAGCUCGAACCGAUUUAUAAUUGUGUUUAGUUUAUACUUUGCGGUUUUAUGAAAAAUAUAUAUAUUAAUGAUAGAAUCUUGGUUGAAUUU